UCAAAGAAUAUGAAGUUCACUUAACUUUUCUUGCAUAAUUAUUAUUUAUUUUCCAGACUGGUUAGAUCAAUUUGCCUUUGAUAUAUUAAAAUAUAGAAUUUUUUUCUUCACAUGACCAGUGACUUUUCCCAACAUUUCUGAUUUCAUAAAUGUUAAAUGAUAUUGAAGUUAGCCUUUAUUUUUGGUCACAGCAGUUUCUGAGUAUAUUGAUUAAGAAGCUAAGCUUUAGGAGCAUCCAGGUGUUCAAAUAUAAAUCCCCUAAUCACUGGUGAAAAUGUUAUGUACUAGGAGAUGAUUAUACUACUAAUAAUUUCUAUAACAAGGUUGCUAAUAUAAGGAAAGCUAUCCUCAUUUCACAGGUGGGGAAACUGAGAGAGUAAGUAACAUUUCAUGACAUAUUCAAAGUCAGAUAGCUGGUAAACAGAGUUAGGACUCUAAUUUGGCUCUCUGCUUCACCAAGCUGCCAAUGAUGAUAAGUACAUGAUGGCAGAGUAAGACACUUAGACAAGGAAAAACCAGAAUAAGAACCAGUCACUGUCUAGAAGGCUGCUCCCUUUACAAUUAGGGGAAAGGCUUCAAGGAAUGUACUAGCAACUGGCCAUGCUUCUUGCAGGCUGCUAUUCAAAUAAGGGUGGGGUCAAGCUACAAAAUAUACACUAGCUGGAAAUCCUGGAAGCUGAGUCAGGGAACUGUGCCUGGACACUGGGAACAGACAAACACAAAACAAGCCAUCCCAUCCAGCAGUCCCUGUGGCACAGCCAGGAUAGUGAAUUGGAAUAGGCUGCAAUCUGUGAUGCCAAAAAUGAUUCUUUUACCCUGCUGAAUAAAACUGACCUCAGUAUUCAUGAAGCUCUUCUGGAUUUUUUGGACAUAGACAACGGAAAUAGAGCAGCAGUGAGUUGUGGGAUCUCGGAAGCAGAUGAACCACUGGCCAAUAAAAGAGCACACGCAGUGAGGAAAGAUAAAAGUGUUUUCCAUUAAUUCACAUGCUGCAGAACAAAGCAAGAAAGCUAAUGAGAUCAUAUUGAUACCAAGAAAUCCUGUACUUCAGAAACCAUGGAAACCAUGGUAAUGGGGAUGAUUCUGACUUUAUUUGCUAUUAUAUUAGUUACCUUUUGUAUUCUCUGCUGGUCUAGCUACAACAAAACCCCAUGGAAUCAACACCAAGAGAGUAUCCCAAACUUUACUUUGGCCACUUUCCACAGGGAAGCUUCUCUUAUUGUAAGACCUACUGGUCAGCAUUCUAAUUCCCAUUCAUCCCCCAACCAAAGGAAUUUCUUUUCCUUUAUGUGACAUCUUAUCCAGGAUUAUUCAGAAUUCAUCUGUAUCCCUUCUGAUGUCUAUGGAACAGCCAAUUGUCAUAAAGGAGGAGACCCUGGAGCUGAAAACAGAGUCCCUACUUUGGAGGACAUUAUGGAAUUAUCAGAUGGAUUGUACUUGGCUAGACUUCUCCAUUAAUCACAACAAUUGUCCUAUAUAUUGUUAAGAGUUUUGAACACUGACAUUUUUUCCCUAAUAUUACAAGAUUAAGUGAUAAUGGAAGCUAAACAAGAGUUUACUUAUUUUCUAGGAGAGAUGGAUUCAACUCAAUCCAAUUCCACAUUUAUUAAAUGUUUAUUCAACUGGGAAAAACUCUAGUGAUUAUAUCUUUCUUCAAUACAGCAAGAAAAGAGAUUCUGAUUUUUUUUAAAUCAAAAGAGUUCCUGGAAGUAUGUUCUGAAAACCAGGCAGAUUGGGCCACCUCAGUUUUAUAACAUGAUGGAGUCACCAGUCUAGAAAGAAUUGUAUGGCCCCUCCCUGUCCUUUGAAAGCAACUAUAUUAGAGAAAAUGCAUUCCAGAAUUGCAGAGAAAGUCUUAUGCAGAUAUAUAGAGGCAGAAAUGGACUGUUGUAUGAAGGAAAGAGUUAUCUGCUCAGUUUGAAGAGAAUUGAAGACUAUUACUGGGAAUAAUAUGAAGUGAAUAGGAAGGUAGGUGGGAGGCUAAUGGAGAAAGAUUUUAAACACCAAGUUCAGAACUUUGCUUUUUUUUUCCCCUAGAGUCAGUAGCGACUCACAGAAGGAUAUUGAGGCUGGGACAAGGCAUGGUUAUACUGGUGUUUACUAUUUGGCAGCUGUAUGAUGGAGAAGAGUAUAGAGCUGGAGUUCUUAACCUGAGGACUAUGAACUUGUUUUUAAAGAUAUUUUUAUAACUUAAUUUCCAUGUAGCUGGGAGUGUUUUUGCUUUAAAUAUGAUUAUAUUAAUUUAUAUUCCUCGUGUAGAAAAAUUCUUUCAUUCCUGGAAUAAAUCCAACUUUGAAUGAUACUUUAAAAA